AAGGUCAAGAACUCCUACAAGAUCCCUGCCAAGCCUGUUGCCGGUGGGAAGAAGACAGCUGUCUCUGCCAAGCUGAAGCCGAAGUCUGCUGCUGUGAAGCCAAAGAAGGCGGCUGUGAAGCCGAAGCCAAAAGCAUCUGCCGCUAAGCCCAAAACCAAGGCAAAAGCAUCUGCUGCUAAGCCUAAAACCAAGUCUGCUGCUGUAAAGCCAAAGGCAGUGAAGUCGAAGUCUGUUGCACUUAAGCCAAAAGCUUCUAGUGGACUGGCAAAAGCUGCAAAGAACUCAGUCAAAGCCACUCCUGCCAAGCUGAAGAAGGCUGCUCCAGUUGCUGCUAAGAAGCCGAAGACUCUGAAGAAGAUCCCUGCUGUGAAGAAGGCCGAGAAGUAGAGCUGUUUUUCUAUUUUACUGGUAGUUGGGACAGAGAGUUGUAUAUUUGGGG
rnacentral:misc_RNA from 1 species